rnacentral:rRNA from 1 species
UCGUUGUAGCAAUACAGUGGAAAGUUCAGUGGCGAACGGGUGCGUAACACGUGGGCAAUCUGCCUUAAAGUGUGGGAUAGCUCGGCGAAAGCCGAAUUAAUACCGCAUGUGGCUACUGGAGACAUCUUCGGGACGCUAAAGGUGGCGCAAGCUACCGCUUUUUGAGGAGCCCGCGGCCUAUCAGCUUGUUGGUGAGGUAACGGCUCACCAAGGCGUUGACGGGUAGCUGGUCUGAGAGGACGACCAGCCACACUGGGACUGAGACACGGCCCAGACACCUACGGGUGGCAGCAGUCGAGAAUUUUUGACAAUGGGGGAAACCCUGAUCGAGCGACGCCGCGUGGAGGAUGAAGGUCUUCGGGUUGUAAACUCCUGUCAUUUGAGAACAAGGCGCGGCUAUUAACUGUAGUCGCGUUGAUAGUAUCAGAAGAGGAAGAGACGGCUAACUCUGUGCCAGCAGCCGCGGUAAUACAGAGGUCUCAAGCGUUGUUCGGAUUCAUUGGGCGUAAAGGGUGUGUAGGUGGCGCGCUAAGUCGGGUGUGAAAUUUCGGAGCUUAACUCCGAAACUGCAUUCGAUACUGGCGUGCUUGAGGACUGGAGAGGAGACUGGAAUUCACGGUGUAGCA